CUCAAAAUUUGACAGUUUACAACACUCUCUCUUAGCAACCAAACUACAAUUAUUAAGGUGGUAAAUACGUUUAUGAAUCACUGCUACUUUGUUCGCUCGUGUUGUUGGUGUUGUUUUUAAGCCAUAUUAAGAAUCAGCAUUUCUCAAACUUA